UGGGGUAUAGCUCAGUGGUAGAGUUCUUGCCUAACGUGCAAGGUCUUUGGUUCAAUUCCCAGCACCACAA
rfam:Ictidomys tridecemlineatus contig023927, whole genome shotgun sequence.